GGUAAACGCUGGCGGCGUGCUUAAGACAUGCAAGUCGAACGCAGUCUUCGGACUGAGUGGCGCACGGGUGAGUAACACGUAACUGACCUACCCCCAAGUCGCGGAUAACUGGCCGAAAGGUCAGCUAAUACGUGAUGUGAUGUCCCCUUUCUGGGGGGCCAUUAAAGGUUUACUGCUUGGGGAUGGGGUUGCGUUCCAUCAGCUAGUUGGCGGGGUAAAGGCCCACCAAGGCAACGACGGAUAGCCGGCCUGAGAGGGUGGCCGGCCACAGGGGCACUGGGACACGGGUCCCACUCCUACGGGAGGCAGCAGUUAGGAAUCUUCCACAAUGGGCGAAAGCCUGAUGGAGCGACGCCGCGUGAGGGAUGAAGGUUCUCGGAUCGUAAACCUCUGAAUCAGGGACGAAAGACGCGUAAGCGGGAUGACGGUACCUGAGUAAUAGCACCGGCUAACUCCGUGCCAGCAGCCGCGGUAA
rnacentral:rRNA from 1 species